ACGGGGCUGGCUGGAAACAUCGAUGCGCUCGCUCAUCGACUACUAACGUUGUCACGGGCGUGGCGUGAUCGAUGUUCGAUCUCUCGUGCGCGGAAUGCCCAUCGGCGCGGUGGUUCUCCGAACCCCGCUAAAUAGACCCUCGAUGAAAAGUCGUCCGAUGCAAUCUUGAGCGACCAUCGUACCUGCGAAUGUGUUUGCCGCCCAGAAGGCGCAGCGCAUGCAGUGUCGAUGUCGUACGGGAA
rnacentral:misc_RNA from 1 species